CUGUUGUUGGACACUAAGAUUCUUCUAUAUCUCUACUUUGUCAUUCAUAGCUUUUGCUUCAUCCUUAGGCUCCUUCUUAUGGUCAUAAUACAGCUGUUUGCACAUCAUUAUCCAGGAGAGAAGAUUCACUUCCAUAUCCCCAAGCCCCAUGAGAGGCCUAUGCAUCUUGAACCAACUACUGGAUUUCGUUGUAGCUUUUGUGGCACCCUUGCACUGCACCCUCCGGCAUGCCUUCAGCACCAGGAGUUCAGAAGAGGAGUUGGAGGGCUCAGCAGACAGCGGUCACCGAUACCCUAGGACAGCUUCAGGUAGUUCUUUCAGCUGUUGAAAUCACUCAGUUGGUGUGCUGCUUUGUGUCUGACAGGAGGAGUAACAAAACAGCCUCAGAGAUAAGGUCUAGUUGGAGCAAUCAUGGAAGAUGCCGGGAAAGAUUAAAGACAACUGGAGAAUUUGCUGGAGCAGCAUGAAAAAUAAAUUGCCUCAGUAAAGUAAUGAUUAAUGAAGC
rnacentral:lncRNA from 12 species